AGAGUUUGAUCAUGGCUCAGAUUGAACGCUGGCGGCAUGCUUUACACAUGCAAGUCGAGCGGCAGCGCGGGGGCAACCCUGGCGGCGAGCGGCGGACGGGUGAGUAAUGCAUCGGAACGUAUCCCGUAGUGGGGGACAACCCAGCGAAAGCUGGGCUAAUACCGCAUAUGCUCUACGGAGGAAAGCAGGGGACUCGCAAGAGCCUUGUGCUAUGGGAGCGGCCGAUGUCCGAUUAGCUAGUUGGUGGGGUAAAGGCUUACCAAGGCGACGAUCGGUAGCUGGUCUGAGAGGAUGAUCAGCCACACUGGGACUGAGACACGGCCCAGACUCCUACGGGAGGCAGCAGUGGGAAUUUUGGACAAUGGGGGCAACCCUGAUCCAGCCAUGCCGCGUGCGGGAAGAAGGCCUUCGGGUUGUAAACCGCUUUUGGUCGGGAAGAAAAGGUUCUCCCUAAUACGGAGGACUGUUGACGGUACCGGCAGAAUAAGCACCGGCUAACUACGUG
rnacentral:rRNA from 1 species